UGGGGAAUAUUGCACAAUGGGCGCAAGCCUGAUGCAGCCAUGCCGCGUGUGUGAAGAAGGCCUUCGGGUUGUAAAGCACUUUCAGCGGGGAGGAAGGCGUUAAGGUUAAUAACCUUGGCGAUUGACGUUACCCGCAGAAGAAGCACCGGCUAACUCCGUGCCAGCAGCCGCGGUAAUACGGAGGGUGCAAGCGUUAAUCGGAAUUACUGGGCGUAAAGCGCACGCAGGCGGUCUGUCAAGUCGGAUGUGAAAUCCCCGGGCCCAACCUGGGAACUGCAUUCGAACCUGGCAGGCUAGAGUCUUGUAGAGGAGGGUAGAAUUCCAGGUGUAGCGGUGAAAUGCGUAGAGAUCUGGAGGAAUACCGGUGGCGAAGGCGGCCCCCUGGACAAAGACUGACGCUCAGGUGCGAAAGCGUGGGGAGCAAACAGG
rnacentral:rRNA from 1 species